CCCUUAUAUUACAAUACAAGUCACGAAAACAAAAUGACCAUUUAUUUUUAAAAGGAGAUAGUUUCCGGUAAGGCUUUGCUAUGGAAUGACGAUCAAUAAAAAUCAGACACAAACACUGAAAAAAAUUGGGUAUACCUACCCAAACUAGUAUUUUCGCAUAGCCAACUUUAUGUUGCCUUUUCACAUGUUACUUCAUAUGAAGGUCUAAAAAUAAUCAUAAAAAAUGAGCAUGGUAUACCAAAAAUAUUUACAAAAAAUAUUAUUUGCACAAAAAUCUUUUUUUGAUUUACCUUCAGGUAUUUAUUAUUCGUACUAUACGUUCAUUUGCAUAACCUAUAUAGUUGUACUAACAUUAAAAUAUCCAUAUCAUCGAACUAGAUAAAGAAUAGAAAAUGGAAUAUAGCUUACUUUCACAGUUGAAUUUAGAAAGGCGCAACUGGAGAAUUAAAGUCAGAGUUUCACGUAUUUCAUAUACUCGACAAAUCGAAAUGCCAACAAUCAAUUAAUAAAUAUUGAUUACAUCUUACUCAAUGAAGAGGUUAAUAUCGACGAUCUUUAGAUUCUGAAUAUAUUUUUAUAUAAUGAAUGGCAUUUCUGAGUUUAUGAAUUUCUACUUUAUAUAGAACUCUAUGAUUCAAACAUCUAUUCGAAAGGAGAAUGCUUUACACUUCAAAAAUUUACUUAUAAAAGAGCAUAUUUACUUCAUACAAAAAUUCAAUGUCGCCUCAAACAAAAGAAAUUUUAGAGCUGCCCCCAUCAAUAUAUUAUUUAUUUCAAUAAUUGGACUAAUGUGCAACAAGUUGAUGAUGAUACAGGUUCUAUACCUUUUUAAAAGUUCUAUUUUGUUAGCUUUGAUGAGUUGCCUUUCAAAAACUAUAACCAUACAUAUUUGAUAGGUACAAAUUUUCAUAACAAUGUCUAAUAUCAAAAAUUAGAAAAAUAUAUAUACUGGCUGACUAUCUCUUUUCUUUGCAGAUGUGAUCGAACAUAUCACGGCUCUCGAAACCAUCAAAGAAACAAAUAUCAGACAAAAAAAAUGUCAAAAAAAGAAACAUAGAAAUCAAAAAUUUAGAGUAAUGAACCUAAACUUAUACUUUUUUAAUACGGGAAGCUACACUGAUAAUUUAGAUUUUUUUUUCUUUCUUAAUAUGUUUCUGUAUACUAAAAAUACUAUCCAUCAAUAAUAAUGUAGUAUGCAGAAAAUAUCAAUCAUGCUUUAGAAAAAAAUUUCUAAAGAACUUGAUGGACAUAUUAUUCGGACAAUGAAGCAGACCGGUCCGAUGAUAAUUAUUUUGACAGGCAUGACUGUUGAAACAUAUAGAGGUAUAUCUUUCUUAUAAAAAAAAUUUGUUCUCUUAGAUAUCAAAUAAUAAUUGUAGAAUAUUGAUAACAUUUCACAUAUGCAGAUAAAAUUUGUCUAUCUAGUUAUUUGGCAUAUAGAUAUUAUAUAGAUGCACAUAUUCCUGAAAUACAGAAUUAUCGAAACAGGUUCAGUAAUACAGUAUACUAUCUUACACUUUGAGAAAAUAGAAUUUAUAUAUAUUAAAACUUGCAAAUCCAUUUUAUGAUAUACAGGCUCAAUAGAUCAAUAGCCGCAAUCGUAUUUACAGAAGAAAAACAAACUGCACAUAUCGA
rnacentral:lncRNA from 1 species